rnacentral:rRNA from 1 species
AUAUAGAUUAAGUUAUUAAGGGCGCACGGUGGAUGCCUUGGCACUAGAAGCCGAUGAAGGACGUUACUAACGACGAUAUGCUUUGGGGAGCUGUAAGUAAG